rnacentral:misc_RNA from 1 species
AUACCGGUAGCGCAAGCGAAUGGUAAUGGAUCUAAUACAACACAUUCAGACAAUCGGCGGUAAGGUCAAUUGUCAAGAGGAGAACAGUCCAGAGGCGAGGCUAAGGUGCCUAACAAUU